rnacentral:rRNA from 1 species
GACGUAGGGCGCGAGCGUUGUCCGGAUUUAUUGGGCGUAAAGAGCUCGUAGGCGGCUCGUUGCGUCGGCUGUGAAAACCCGCAGCUCAACUGUGGGCUUGCAGCCGAUACGGGCGGGCUGGGAUUCGGUAGGGGAGACUGGAAUUCCUGGUGUAGCGGUGAAAUGCGCAGAUAUCAGGAGGAACACCGGUGGCGAAGGCGGGUCUCUGGGCCUGUGCUGACGCUGAGGAGCGAAAGCGUGGGGAGCGAACAGG